GUGCUGACAUCCUACUUGGUCCUAGCUUUCUCUAAGGGGUGUGUGUGUGUGUUUUCCUAAAUCUCCUAUGUCUUCCCUCAGAGACAGCUUGACACAGCUGGUCCACGGCACUUCUGAUUGAAGCUUGAAGGUGUCUCAUCUCCAGGAAGAACAGCCCAUGGAGAGUGCCAUUACAGCCCAGCGCAAGUAUACACGGAUGUGGCAGUUUACUAACAUCUGCGUCAUUAGCCAAACUACAGAGUCAAUAAGAAAAUCCAUGAAGACAGCUGGUGUGAGUUUCCUCAGCCAACGUGAAAUUGAUUUAUUGGUUCACAGGCAGGGUGGACUCCAGGGACAGGCAUUCUAUACGGAAAACCUUCAGCCCCAGUAAAGUGUCUUUGCUUUCCUGCACCACCUCUGACCUGGCUCUGCUGUGCGAUUACCACCUUCUACAGGCAAGACGAUUUUGCGACUCCUCAACUAAGCACUGAAGUUAGGAGCACUUGGAAGGAGGAUAUGGAGGACUUUUGCCAUAGCCAAGAGGUGAAUCAGUACUGGGAUUAAACCAAGAGCCUCAAAGCCCUCUUCCACUGAACCACAUCUCCAGCCUGUACACAGGUGGCUUCUAGGCAGUAAAUGUGGCCAGCCCAAGAGAAUGCAGGCCAUGGGCCUGGCAACAAUCUUUCUCCUGCUAAUCAGGGCCUGGAGGAGGUGAGAUGACCUGAAUGGAAAUGAACUCCAGACAGGACCUGGCUCUCCUCCCAGGGCACCGCAGAACCCGGAGAACAGAGUCCAGCAUCCCUACCAACUCAGGUUUGGUUAAGUCUUAUAUUAUCCCCCGCAGUCCUGGAGGUUAUUGGGGGUUUGGGGCUGGAAAACAAUACCACAUUCUUUCUCAACCCUGAGAAGGAAGAGUAGAGAAAUGGGUACGAAGUGAUGGACAGGUACAACGCAGGCACCCCUGCCAAGUCGUAGAAUGGAGGUGUCGACUUUUCUCUCUUACAGAUGGGGAAAACGAAAGCUUGGCGCACGUGGCGAUUGGCACAAAGUCUUGCAGCUUUUAUGUGGUAGAACAAAGUAAGAGCCAGACUUAGCUCUUUCCACACUGAGCGUGGGGGUUGUUUGAGAAAGGACAGCUUCCUCCUGGGGACCAGAGAGGGGAGAAGGAAGGAGAGCGCGCUGGAGAAAAUCACGCGGCGCAGGCACACAAUGGAAGGGUUGAAACCAGGUCUGUCCUAGAUAACUGGUGUGGUUCUUGCCAGGAGAGGAAGUCAGAGGCUAACUAUAGACCGAGGACCACGGCCCGGAGGAACUCACUCCGUCUCAGGAUUGCAGCUUUCUCUGUGGUUAUUUUCCACUGUCCUCUCUUUCCCUGCAAUGCCCAGUGUUUAAACCUAGAAAUGCAAAGGGGCAGCUAGGAAGCUGGUAGCCAACUUUGUCCAGUUCUGAGACUAGUUUGGAAGAGGUAAAGCGGAGAAAGGCCACGCUGUGUUGUUGGUGUGAGCAGCAUGGAGAAUUUUUAAAGGGAGGAGAUAGCUGAAUCCUUGGUGGUUUAUAAAGAGGAAAAAGAGCUCAGUAGAGUCACUGGAGCCAGCGCCUGCCCACAUCCCUUCUCCCAGGGAAUUUCUGGGCCCCUGUAAGAGGCCAAGUAUCAGGCUGAGCUGGUCCAAUGAAGAAAAACACGUGCUUCAGUUUGGCUGGCCAGGGAGGUAUCUCCAAGGAGGCAGCCUUAAGCUAGAAUCUGAGGGAGUCAGGCAUGCCAAGAAGAGGGGAAAUGGCCGAGGGAGAGAAUAUAAAGUCCCAGAGAAAAAGGAGAAGCAAGUAGGCAGAGCAGUGUGGCUAUCGUGGAUUGCGCUAGGGGAGAGAAGCAGGAGGUGGUGGAGAGAGACAGGGUCUGGGCCCUGUAAUCAGACACUCCUGACCUCUUAAAUAGUGGCACAGAAGAGGAUUGAUGUUUUGGAAUGCGUCUUACUUCCCAGUAGAAAACAGACAUAGAAGGAAGCAAGUGGAAGAGGCCAAAAAAUUCAAAUUCUGCCAUCCAAGUCAAUGACCCUACCUGAAGACUCCCUAUUUUUAAAGGGACACUUCACAAACCUUCACCUGCAUCCCAUCAGAGUUUUUGGUGACAACGAAGGGAUACUACAGGAGGUGGAACUUCUGCAGCUGGCUUUGAGCACAACCACAACCAUUUUCCUGCUUAGAGCUUGGAAAGCCUGUGAGUUGACCUCCAGAGGAAGACACCAGCAAACUGCAGCGACCAUGAAUCCCCAGGUGUUGGCCUCAUGGGAAAUCCUUGACUCAUUAAUCACGCUGAUGAGUGCAGUUGACUUAGUGUUAUGGUGAUGGUGGUGCCUAAAACUGAGUUAGCACUUGCUCCUGCCUGGCCAAGAGGCAGAACUUUAAGCAGAGAAUCAUGAUCAUUGACAAUGUAACUGUGAACUUCACCCCGGGAGAGUGGGCCCUAUUGGAUACAGCCCAGAGGAAGCUGUGCAGAGAUGUGAUGUCAGAAAUUGCCAGUCAUCUAGAAUCCAUUUCCAGUCCACGUGGCAAACAUGGCCGUCUAUACACAUACAGGUCAGCAAGAACAUCUGCAUCAUCAGGUCAAUGGAAUCUCUGACCAUUGAGGCUGUAACUGUGAAACUGGUGUUAGUUCAUCUUUAAUGGUCUCAGAAUUCGGCUGUGAAUCCAUCAGGACCUGGAAUUUUCCUUAUUGGAAGACUGCUUAUUACUUUCCUAAUCUCAUUGCUUAUGAUGGGUCUAUUUAAGCGGUUUACAGCUUCUUUGUUCAGCUUAGGCAGCUUGAAUGUCUCUAGGAAUUUAUCCAUUUCUGCUAGAGUUUCCUUCUUAUUUGAGUAUAGGUUUCAGAAAUAGUCUCUUAUAAUCUCUUGAAUUUCUUGGAUGCUUGUUGUGAUGUUUCCUUUGUCAUCUCUAAUUUUGUUGAUUUGAGGGGUUUUUGCUUCUUGUUUUCGUCACUUAACUAGGGGGGCUGUCAAUUUUAUUAACUUUUUCAGAGAACUGACUUUCUGUUUGGUUGAUUCUAUAUAUAGUUUUUUAGGCUCUACUACAUUGAUUUCUGCCCUAAUGUUUAUUAUCUCUCUCCAUCUACUACUUUUGGAUUUGGUCUGUUCCUGUUUUUCUAGAAGCUUUAGAUGAAUCAUGAAAUUGUUAUUUAUUUGAACUGUUACUAUUUUCUUUAUGUAAAAUGCAUAGAGCUAUGAACUUUCCUCACAGCAUUGCUUUUAUCAUAUCCCAAAGAUUUUGGUAUGAUGCAUGUUCAUUUUCAUUGGAUUGUAGGAACUUUCUGAUUUCUUCCUUUAUUUCUCCAAUGACCAAGAAGCUUGAUCUUAAAAUGAAAGUGGAGUAGUUUCUGAUUUAUUUCAUGUCACAAAAUGGCAUGGAAUAAUCCAGCUAAGAAACAAAAAUUCUAAAUAAAGCUUUUUAACA